GAUGAAGAACGCAGCGAAAUGCGAUAAGUAAUGUGAAUUGCAGAAUUCAGUGAAUCAUCGAAUCUUUGAACUCACAUUGCGCCCGCCAGUAUUCUGGCGGGCAUGCCUGUUCGAGCGUCAUUUCAACCAUCAAGCCCCAGGCUUGUGUUGGGGACCUGCGGCUGCCGCAGGCCCUGAAAACCAGUGGCGGGCUCGCUGUCACACCGGGCGUAGUAGAUUUUAUCUCGCUCAGGGCGUGCUGCGGGUUCCGGCCGUUAAAAAGCCUUUUUUACCCAAGGUUGACCUCGGAUCAGGUAGGAAGACCCGCUGAACUUAAGCAUAUCAAUAAGCGGAGGA
rnacentral:misc_RNA from 1 species